rnacentral:lncRNA from 1 species
UUCGGUUGGGUGGCGCGGGUGGGGUGGCAUAGGGUUCGAUUGGCGGCGGAAGCAGGGCCCAGGGGUUUACAGCAGGGCCAAGCAAGACCAGGCACUUACGUACCCGCUUGGACGGUAACAAGCGCAAACACGUGAGCCUGGCGAUGCUGCGAGUGAGCGCGAGCACAAGCACUUGCUAGUCAAGUAUUGCCGCAGUUUACAUGCAGGUGCGCG